rnacentral:lncRNA from 1 species
AAGCGCACUGGCACUGAAGUGAUGGCGGCGGCCGAGCGGGCAUGGGGAGCAGCGGUCGGUGUAGUCCGGCUGUGCAGGCGGUAGGUGUUGGCUCCCUGGCUAGCAGAUCCCUGUCGCUGCCUUCUCACAGGCAGGAGCUGGCGUCUGAGGGACCCUUGUCCUGGCUCCAGAGCCCGAGGCCAGCCACCUUCCACGGAUGUCCCUUGUAAAUCCCACGGGAAUGUGGCUCCGAAGGGAAGAGCGGUCCCGGGGUUGUGUCGUGUCCUGUCGUUCCCUUUCCAGGGAGAUCACGGCUCGGAGAGAAGUGAGUGACUCGAGGAAGUCCACCGCCCAGGCUUGUGCGAGUGCGUCCUGUUCCUCUUCUAGAGCCACUCCCUCAGAUAUCUGUCAGACCCGAGUGUGACAACUAUAGAAAGGGGCCUGACAGAAUGCUGAUGCCAACUUGAAGUUUCAAAUGCAUUUCAUCAGGCUAGCAUAGAAUCCCUCAUCAUCUGUCAUCCCAAUACUUGAAAGGUGAAGGCAGGAAGACCAGGAGUUCAAGGCCAGGUUAGACUAUUUAUGAGACACCCUCCACCACCCCACCACCCCCGUUUUAAAACUCCUAAAUGUAUCUCAUAAAAAUAGCAGAUUAACAGAAGGAUUUUGUGGGUUACCCCCUGCCCACCUGUUUUCGAUGACUCCCCUUCAGUUACUUUACUCAAGAUCGGUUAGACUUCAAAACUUCCUGCCAGAGUAUACUUCUGGUUUAUCCACGCUUGCUGCUUUUUCCCAGGGUUGAAGGAAUAUUAGGGUGUUUCCAAAUCCUGGAGUAUCCACUCCAUUCACUUAAAGAAUAGUUACUAGUUACCACGUAGUGAUAACAGCUACCAUUUACUGAACGCUCACUGUGUGGCCUGGUGUGGCCCUUAUUGCUAGGUGUUCCUUAGGGAGAGUGAUCUACAAUGCUCUGCACGCCUUUUGUUUCAAAUGAGUGCGUCUAAUAAGGAUGCAGCACAUAGUCCUAGCAUAAGAGAGCAAGCAGCCAGAGGGCACAGCACCAAAGCAGGUACACCAUCCAGCAGAUCAGGCCGGGGGAAACCCCAGGAUCCAAGACACUUACUGGGGACUCUGGUUGCCAAGGGUCUUCUCCUGGGUAUGACAUUUAAUUAGCUAUUUCUGUCAUCGGCAUUUUUUUUUUUUUCGAUUCUCGAGACAGGGUUUCUCUGUGUAGCCCUGACUGUCCUGGAACUCACUCUGUAGACCAGGCUGGCCUCGAACUCAGUAAUCCGCCUGCCUCUGCCUCCCGAGUGCUGAGAUUAAAGGCGUGUGCCACCACGCCCUGCUUGUCAUGGGCAUUUUUAUAACAUGGAAUUUGAACAGUAGCUGAGUCUUGUAUUUUGGGAAGGUGCCCGGGAGUGACUUAGUUCCCAGCUGUGUUCAGGGGCUGGUUUUGCUCCUGUUCUGGUCUCCGAUGUUUUUACUCUGUUCUGGUCUCCGGGGCAUGAUGUUUUUACUCUUGGACUGUUUUGCUCCUACAAAGGGUCUUGGAGGACAAUUUUAAGUAUUCACUUAAGGCAGGUGGAUCUCUGUGUUCAAGGCCAGUCUGGUCUACACAGUGAUACCCAGUCUCAAAAUUAAAAAAAGAAAAAAACAAAAAAAAAGGGGGGGAACUCAAGUCAAGUCUUUUCAGAUAAUUUCCCUUUCUAGCCGGAGUUACUUUCCGAGCUCCAUUCCUUUUUAAUUGGAUGAAGGUUUGAGAAUAGCCAGUCAGUGCUCCUCUAUCAGAGUGAAGUGAAGGUCCGACGCCUGGCUAAUGCUCCCUCCCCAGCAAGUAUAAAGAAUGAUGGCUGCUCUUGGCAAUUGCAUGUGUUCUAUUAGACUUUAGACUUUGAAUCGUUGGGAUGAAGCGGGUGUCCUUUAUCCUAACUAUUUCAGUGGCGUUUCUGACUUUAAAUUUUGGGACAUCUGUACUUCAUGAGAUACCAUGGGGAUAGAAACUAUGUCUAAACGCAGAACUCGUUUCUUCACGUGCACCUUACCCAUCACGGAAAUUGCAUGCAUUGUUUCUAGUGAACUUUGGAAGGCAGGCCCCUUACGUGGGGCCAGGUAUGAGAUGGGUUGAAGCUUAGAACAUUUCAGGUUUUUGCUCAGGGAUGCUCAUUUUUUACCUCCCCCCCCCCCUUUCCCCAAAAGGGCUUUGCAAAUGCUAGGCAAGCACUGUCCCAUGAGCUGCACUCCCAGCCUUUCCCAGGACACAGGGGGCUACUUCUCUCCAGGUGACUGCUGUGAGACCGACAAGGAAAAGCUUUUUGCUGGAUAUGUGGUUUUUUUCUUAGCUGUUUUCAGCCAUGUGACCAUCCUACCUAAUUUUUAAACCUUUAAAAGAAAAAGUAAGCCAGUGGUGGUGGCACAGGUCUUUGGUAUCAGCACUAGGCAGGCAGAAGCAGGCAGAUCUCUUGAGUUAUCAAGCCAGCCUGGUCAGCAAGAGAGUUCCAGGAAAGCCAAGGCUACACAGAGAAACCCUGACUC